rnacentral:lncRNA from 1 species
AGGGGACGGGCGGAGGGGAGGGGUGAGUGCCGAGGGGAGGGGUGGAGGGGAGGUGUGAGUGCUGAGGGGUUGGGUGGACGGAAGUGCUCCCUGCCUGCCUGCCUGGAACAGCCAAGUCAAUGGGCAGGGUGUUGUGCCCCUAAGGCAGGCUUUACCUUGGUUCUUGUGAGCAGACAGCAGACCCAAGUGGCAGAAGUCACAGGGAGCGCAGCCAGGGUGACAGCCAGAGAGGGUCCCAGGUGCUGGCCAACAUGAGGCCUCAGUCCUGGGUGAGGACUUGUCUUUGCCCCAGUCAGGACGGAUGCCACCAGACAGCUGGCCAGCAAGCACUACCCCAUGUUGGACCCUUCUGUUUGUAUUUGCAGAGGGCCAGCCAUGGGGAGGAGGAAGGGAGGGUGAGGAGAGAGAUGGCCUUUGCAGCGCACUGGUGACAGACAUUGUGGGUAGGGUCAGAGCUUGCCUUUGUAUUCAUGACUCUGCUGCCAGGCAGGUGUGAGGGAGGAGGAGAGACGGGCAGGCAGUGGCAUAGGAAUUGGGCCAGAGGGCUGGCAAGGCUGGGCUGGCAAGGCUGGGCUGGCACACAUAGCGGUGGAGAAGGCUAUGGGUCAGGGUGGAGUUGAAGACAGAGCAGUUUCACAAGAAUCAUACACCGAAUCAUCCUCAUACUCUGAGAUGUGACCCCAAUUUACUGGUGGAGAAAAUAAAGCCAGGAGAAAUGUACGACUGAGGAUAACACCAGACAGCAAAGGCUUCCAUGACAGCCGCUGUGAAGUCUGCAGGAAGAACCACAGGCGGGACAUAAAGACUGAGCCUGGGUCACGAGCACAGACUCCUCUCCUUGGUAACUGCAGAGGAAAACGGAAUGUGAAGUAGGGGGAUUGAACUUUGCUUCACUAACUGUUGAAGCUUAAACAGCAGUUUUUCUAAUGCAGCGUUGAUCUGUCUCCUAAGUCAGGCACAACACGGACCGGUUUUAGGGCAGGAAACUUCGCUCUGUGGCCCUGGGCUGGUGCCGCCUGUUGACCUACGUUUGUCAACACCCACAGAACGCACAACGCCCGGAGCAAAGCCCAGUGUCAGUGCUAGAAGGCUGUCGCUUGGUGUUCAACCACUGGUGUCACCGGUCCCACUGUUUGUGACUCCAUCCUCCCCGACACCGGAAGCCACUGAUUUCUUCGUGUCUUCGUGGUUCGGCCCUGCUCAGGAUAUCACAAACACUCAGCACGAAGCCUUUCCAGAACACCUCCUUUCACAGAUUCCUGGAGGUAAAGGUCACGCACCUGCUCUGUUUAUCCACGCUCUGGUGAGAGUCCCGGACUGGCCGGGUGAAGGCACACGCAGCAGCUCGGGGCCAGCUGUGGCCAGCACGGGGCCCUCGGGUGCAGCCCACGUUCCUGGGGAGCCAGGCCCUGCUCCCCGGAGCCAUGGAGAGCCCGCUCUGCAGCACCAGCAGUGGAACAGCUUUGGGGAGAGCAGCAGAGAGGCUGAUGGGGACACCGAACUUUCCGUGUUUUCCAGCUUCCCUCCCUCUUGCUCCAAAACGGAACCACUUCUCAGAGCUCCAGCGCAAGCUGGAUUUAACAGUCCUGACUAAUGUAGUGGGCCUUGUUGGAUAUGAGGGUCACGUGAAGUGUUUGUAAGUUUAAGAGCUAGUAUUUAGCCCUCUUCCUUGAAAACAUACGAUGUCUCUAAUUAUGUGGAUUUUCUGUAUACUUUACAGUAAAAUUUUGUAAUAUCUUCCAUAUACAAAUACCAC